rfam:Oerskovia sp. Root918 contig_1, whole genome shotgun sequence.
CCAGACCCCUCGUGCGGCACUAUCUCACUGAACUCCCCCAGGGCCGGAAGGCAGCAAGGGCAGGUGGGCUCUGGUGGGUGCACGGGGGGUCCUUGCA